AAAUUGAAGAGUUUGAUCAUGGCUCAGAUUGAACGCUGGCGGCAGGCCUAACACAUGCAAGUCGAACGGUAACAGGAAGCAGCUUGCUGCUUUGCUGACGAGUGGCGGACGGGUGAGUAAUGUCUGGGAAACUGCCUGAUGGAGGGGGAUAACUACUGGAAACGGUGGCUAAUACCGCAUAACGUCGCAAGACCAAAGAGGGGGACCUUCGGGCCUCUUGCCAUCAGAUGUGCCCAGAUGGGAUUAGCUAGUUGGUGAGGUAACGGCUCACCAAGGCGACGAUCCCUAGCUGGUCUGAGAGGAUGACCAGCCACACUGGAACUGAGACACGGUCCAGACUCCUACGGGAGGCAGCAGUGGGGAAUAUUGCACAAUGGGCGCAAGCCUGAUGCAGCCAUGCCGCGUGUAUGAAGAAGGCCUUCGGGUUGUAAAGUACUUUCAGCGGGGAGGAAGGUGUUGUGGUUAAUAACCGCAGCAAUUGACGUUACCCGCAGAAGAAGCACCGGCUAACUCCGUGCCAGCAGCCGCGGUAAUACGGAGGGUGCAAGCGUUAAUCGGAAUUACUGGGCGUAAAGCGCACGCAGGCGGUCUGUCAAGUCGGAUGUGAAAUCCCCGGGCUCAACCUGGGAACUGCAUUCGAAACUGGCAGGCUUGAGUCUUGUAGAGGGGGGUAGAAUUCCAGGUGUAGCGGUGAAAUGCGUAGAGAUCUGGAGGAAUACCGGUGGCGAAGGCGGCCCCCUGGACAAAGACUGACGCUCAGGUGCGAAAGCGUGGGGAGCAAACAGGAUUAGAUACCCUGGUAGUCCACGCCGUAAACGAUGUCUACUUGGAGGUUGUGCCCUUGAGGCGUGGCUUCCGGAGCUAACGCGUUAAGUAGACCGCCUGGGGAGUACGGCCGCAAGGUUAAAACUCAAAUGAAUUGACGGGGGCCCGCACAAGCGGUGGAGCAUGUGGUUUAAUUCGAUGCAACGCGAAGAACCUUACCUGGUCUUGACAUCCACAGAACUUUCCAGAGAUGGAUUGGUGCCUUCGGGAACUGUGAGACAGGUGCUGCAUGGCUGUCGUCAGCUCGUGUUGUGAAAUGUUGGGUUAAGUCCCGCAACGAGCGCAACCCUUAUCCUUUGUUGCCAGCGGUCCGGCCGGGAACUCAAAGGAGACUGCCAGUGAUAAACUGGAGGAAGGUGGGGAUGACGUCAAGUCAUCAUGGCCCUUACGACCAGGGCUACACACGUGCUACAAUGGCGCAUACAAAGAGAAGCGACCUCGCGAGAGCAAGCGGACCUCAUAAAGUGCGUCGUAGUCCGGAUUGGAGUCUGCAACUCGACUCCAUGAAGUCGGAAUCGCUAGUAAUCGUGGAUCAGAAUGCCACGGUGAAUACGUUCCCGGGCCUUGUACACACCGCCCGUCACACCAUGGGAGUGGGUUGCAAAAGAAGUAGGUAGCUUAACCUUCGGGAGGGCGCUUACCACUUUGUGAUUCAUGACUGGGGUGAAGUCGUAACAAGGUAACCGUAGGGGAACCUGC
rnacentral:rRNA from 1 species